rnacentral:sRNA from 1 species
UCCACGGUAUCGGGGUGCACGCUUAAGCCCCA